GGAAUAUUGCGCAAUGGGGGAAACCCUGACGCAGCAACGCCGCGUGGAGGUUGAAGGCUUUCGGGUCGUAAACUCCUGUCAGGUGGGAAGAAAAGGUGCACGUGAAUAGCGUGCGACGUUGACGGUACCACCAGAGGAAGCCCCGGCUAACUCCGUGCCAGCAGCCGCGGUAAUACGGAGGGGGCAAGCGUUAUUCGGAAUUAUUGGGCGUAAAGGGCGCGCAGGCGGCCUGGCAAGUCAAAGGUGAAAUCCCUCGGCCCAACCGAGGAACUGCCUUUGAAACUGUCUGGCUUGAGGCUGGGAGAGGGUAGUGGAAUUCCUAGUGUAGCGGUGAAAUGCGUAGAUAUUAGGAGGAACACCAGUGGCGAAGGCGACUACCUGGACCAGUUCUGACGCUGAGGCGCGAAAGCGUGGGGAGCAAAC
rnacentral:rRNA from 1 species